rnacentral:rRNA from 1 species
AUUGAACGCUGGCGACAUGCCUUACACAUGCAAGUCGAACGGCAGCACGGGUGCUUGCACCUGGUGGCGAGUGGCGCACGGGUGAGUAAUACAUCGGAACAUGUCCUGUAGUGGGGGAUAGCCCGGCGAAAGCCGGAUUAAUACCGCAUACGAUCUACGGAUGAAAGCGGGGGCCCUUCGGGCCUCGCGCUAUAGGGUUGGCCGAUGGCUGAUUAGCUAGUUGGUGGGGUAAAGGCCUACCAAGGCGACGAUCAGUAGCUGGUCUGAGAGGACGACCAGCCACACUGGGACUGAGACACGGCCCAGACUCCUACGGGAGGCAGCAGUGGGGAAUUUUGGACAAUGGGCGAAAGCCUGAUCCAGCAAUGCCGCGUGUGUGAAGAAGGCCUUCGGGUUGUAAAGCACUUUUGUCCGGAAAGAAAUCCUUGGCCCUAAUACGGUCGGGGGAUGACGGUACCGGAAGAAUAAGCACCGGCUAACUACGUG